rnacentral:lncRNA from 1 species
CGGCCGUGCCAUUCCCAUGAUGCCCAGCCACCGGGCACGGCUUCCGGAGCGCGGCCGCCGCCGCCCCGCCGCCGCCGUCAAAAGUCUGUUUAAAAAGUGGGCCCAAGAUGCUACAGAGUACACGUAGGGAGAUGAAGACCCAGUCCUUGAACCGUUCUGCCAACAUUACACUGAACCUGGACUUGAAGAGAAUCACAGGAGCUGCUAGUUCGUGUCAAGAGCCAACCAACCCGUGAUGUGCCGCUGAACCUGACUCCCAGUAGUCGACAGUUCCACCCGCCCAGAGGCUUUGCGCCUUCGUCCCGUCGCCCCCUCUUGACGACUUCGGAAGGUAAACCCCUCCUCUGCUCCUUCGCCGGAGAAGAUGGACAGAGGGAUGACGGAAGAAGGACACCCGUGUCAGCUUCCACGAGCUCGGCCCAGGGGACUUGGAAGCAUUUUCUCAUGAGUCUCCUCGGCCACCCGCCCUGUACAGCUGAGGAAGCUGAGGCCCGGGGGCCCGCGGCUGGCCGGACAUUCGCCAGGCCUCCGGCUCCCUUGUGACCUGACCCGGGGCACCCGCCCGGCGUGCCCCCUGCAGGAUGUGAAGCAGGCAGAGAAGCAAAGCCCCGCC